rnacentral:rRNA from 1 species
UACGUAGGGUCCAAGCGUUAUCCGGAGUUACUGGGCGUAAAGGGCGUGUAGGUGGUUUCGUAAGUCUGGCGUGAAAUUUCUCGGCUUAACCGAGGCAGGUCGUCGGAUACUGCGAGGCUAGAGGACGGUAGAGGCGUGUGGAAUUCCGGGUGUAGGGGUGAAAUGCGUAGAGAUCCGGAGGAACACCAGUGGCGAAGGCGACACGCUGGGCCGUACCUGACACUGAUGCGCGACAGCAUGGGGAGCAAACAGG